rnacentral:rRNA from 1 species
ACGGGAGGCAGCAGUGGGGAAUAUUGCGCAAUGGGGGCAACCCUGACGCAGCAACGCCGCGUGAUUGAAGAAGGUCUUCGGAUUGUAAAAAUCUUUAAUCAGGGACGAAGAAAAUGACGGUACCUGAAGAAUAAGCUCCGGCUAACUACGUGCCAGCAGCCGCGGUAAUACGUAGGGAGCAAGCGUUAUCCGGAUUUACUGGGUGUAAAGGGCGUGUAGGCGGGCCUGUAAGUUGGGAGUGAAAUCCGGGGGCUUAACCCCCGAACUGCUUUCAAAACUGCGGGUCUUGAGUGAUGGAGAGGCAGGCGGAAUUCCCAGUGUAGCGGUGAAAUGCGUAGAUAUUGGGAGGAACACCAGUGGCGAAGGCGGCCUGCUGGACAUUAACUGACGCUGAGGCGCGAAAGCGUGGGGAGCAAACAGGAUUAGAUACCCUGGUA